AACGGCCAUACCAUGCUGAAUACACCGGUUCUCGUUAGAUCACCGAAGUUCAAGCAUCAUUGGAGCGAGGUCAGUACUUGGGUGGGUGACCACCUGGGAACACCGCGUGCCGUU